rnacentral:rRNA from 1 species
UACGUAGGGUGCAAGCGUUGUCCGGAAUUAUUGGGCGUAAAGAGCUCGUAGGCGGUCUGUCACGUCGGCUGUGAAAACCUGGGGCUCAACUCCGGGCCUGCAGCCGAUACGGGCAGACUAGAGUUCGGCAGGGGAGACUGGAAUUCCUGGUGUAGCGGUGAAAUGCGCAGAUAUCAGGAGGAACACCGGUGGCGAAGGCGGGUCUCUGGACCGCAACUGACGCUGAGGAGCGAAAGCGUGGGGAGCAAACAGG